UCACACCUCUAGUUAAUGGAAGUACUCUACCAUGUCCUGAAGUGGGACCAGUGGAGGUUAAACAUCCUCCCACAAACAGGAAUGGAGGUCCAUGCGCGACACGGAUCUUCACCACCACCAAACCACCUCCUAAAAGAGAUGAUGACAGGAUCUUCACCACCACCAAACCACCUCCUAAAACAACAGAUGAUGACAGGAUCUUAACCACCAAACCACCUCCUAAAACAACAGAUGAUGACAGCAUUUUUGGUGUCUCUCCUGGUUUGGUGGCUUCUCCUGUCCUCACCCUCCUGGUUGCACUGAUGCUCGUCAUACAUCGUUGAUGUGUGUCCUCCAUCAACAUCUCACAUUAACACAUGGACAGGGCUAGCAAAUUUGCCACUGGCUGAGAAAUUAAGUGAUUUUUACUUUUUAUUAAAUGUCUUUCUUUUUUUUUAUUGCUUAUAUAAGGAUGUAAUAAGAGAGAUGCAAUGGGUAAAGAACUAUUGGCACUAUAAAUCAGGUGUUAAGUAUAUUUGUUGGUAUUUUUUUAUUUGUUUGUUUGAUAUUUUAUAGUACUGUAGUCCGUGAGACAAAAAUCUGAGAGAUAUUUUUCAUAUAUCAAGAAUACAUGCAGUACAUAAACUGUAUAAAGUCUGUGAAAGUUUAUAGCUGCUCCUGCAAUGCUUCUUGAUUCACAAUAGCAUAUUUGAGAAUCAUAAAAAAAAUGCCUGCAAUAACAUGGUUUGUUUCUGGUGAUGAAAAAAUGCGUAUUAGUAUCUGAAUUGAAUUGUAUUGCAUGGAUAAAUCUUUAUAAAUCAGUACACUAUUAUAUAAAUAAAUAAAAGUAAACCACUACAAGAACUUCACUUUAUGCCAAAUGCAAUCAUUGCAGUUAUCUAAGGGUCUGCCUGUGGCAUCUGGAUUCUCUAGGUUUAUCAAAAAAUGAUCCCUUUCACAUUCAAAAAAACAUUGAUU